rnacentral:lncRNA from 1 species
GGUGAAGAUACAGCAGCCCUCUAGCAAUUCCCAUAAUGAUGUCAAACCGCUUCUCCCAGUUCAGUAACAUGCAUAGGGUUCGAUCUUGCAAGGUUCCCAUUGGAAAGCAUUACUUCAGAUAUGUAUACAAGAAUGUAUAUGUUACAUGAAAAAGAAAAGGGCUUUAAGGCAGGUUUAGAGACAAACCAAAUAUGAAGGAAUCUAAGCUUUUGUUGGCCAUAUAUUCAUAGAGUAAAAUCUUCUCAUCACCUUCAACACAAUAGCCCAAAAGUCUAACCAGAUUCCGAUGCUGAAGUUUGGCAAUUAAAACAACCUCAUUCUUAAAUUCCUGUAGGCCUUGUCCUGAAGCUCUAGAGAGUCUCUUAACUGCAAUUUCUUGCCCCUCUGGAAACUUGCCCUGGAAGCCACAGUGCAUAUGCAUUGGGCAUAUGUUAGAACUUGGUGACUUGAAUUCUAUUUGGUUCGACUCCAGAAGCUCGCGAUGUGAUAUAGGUAGUAAAGCUAAAAUUAUGAAUUUUUUUUUGGGUUUGUGGUAGUAACAGAGGGAUCGGACCUAUUACUCUUUCAUGUAUAUACAUACAUAUAUAUACAUACAUAUAUAUAUAUAUAUAUAUAUAUAUAUAUAUAUAUAUAUAUAUAUAUGUAUGCAUGCGAUGAUGUAUAGUUUUCAGGGUUAUGAUGAUUAUGUUUUUGCUAUAGGGGUCCGUAUCUCUUUCCUCUUGUACUAAUUUUUGAUAUAAUAAAAUUUCUUCUCCUCGUGGUCUUUCCUAUCUAGGGUUUUCCAUACAAAUUUAUGUGUUCUUAUCCUGUUUUAUUUCUUAUUGCAUAUUCUCAUUAUUUUGUAACAGCAUAGAUGAUGAUAAACUAGUUGAAAAUGAGAGGAACAUGGAAAUUAAGAACAAUUACCUUGUAAACUGGCCCAAAACCCCCUUGUCCAAGCUUAUUUGCAUCUGAAAAGUUAUUUGUAGCAGCCAGUAUGUCUUCUAAGUCGAAAAACGGUACAUCAAUGCCUUUCUUAUCCUCUUCUUUGAAUUGCUCCGAGUCUAUUGAGUGUUUCACACGACUCUCACUAUCAUAUAAGUGAAGCACUUGAUUUGCUCUGUUCUCUGAACUCAAAAAAAACAGAAAAUAUUGUAUACAAGACCCUGAAAUAUUCUCAAUUCAGCCAAGCACAAGUCGAAAAGAAAAGACCAGAAGUUAUAGGCUAGUGCAUAUGGCACAAAGAUUACCUUUCCUUUUGGUGAUGGUUCUUUUGCGCAAAUAAGCAAUAUAACCAAUGAUGCCUAAAACCGCAACUAGAACAACAGCAAUUGUUAUGCCUACCACAACCACUGGAGAUGACCACGAUGACUUCUGAUCAGCAGGUUUGACACCUGAAACAAAGAAGGAACUGAAUUGAACUUCUCUCACCUACCCAGAAGGCAAAUUUAGUAAGAUACUUGGUGAACAGAAUCCUCACCUUGUGUACAAUUUAAACUUGAGCUAUUCCAUUUGAAGUUUUCAUUGCAAAAGCACCUACUCAUUCCAUCUCGCGUUCCGCAGAUUGAAUUUGGCCAGUCUUUGCAAUCUGCUGAUGAGGUACACGCCGGCUCCGAUGGUGGAUCCCAACUGAUCUCUACUUCAAUACUAUUUUUCAAUGACAUCUCAGAGCCAAAAUGGUCAGUUCCAACCUCUUUGCACGCAUCAGUUAUGCGAAAAGGUGGGUCUAGUGGCGGAAUUAAACUUCGAGAACUGCAAUCUGCUUCUUUCAGUUGGAUUACAAAUCUUAAUGUCUCUGGGUUAAUGCUAGUUACUCGGUAGGCACCACCAGGUACCUUGAACUGAACCUGGCCUGUGGUACUGUUACACUCAAAAUUGAAGUACAUGGGAUCACCACACUUUGAUCCAGUGCUUAGAGGAUAAGGAAUCAUGCUUGAACCACAAGUUUCACAAUUCCUUACUGUUGGUUCUGCAAAGACAGUAGAAUACCAUGUGGGCAUUUCAGUUACAAAUGGAUUAAUGCUUGUUUUUUCAAAGAAAAAAUAAAAUAAAAAUUGAAAGGGACAUACUUAUAUCUGAAAUGGCCACACGAACGGAGAGGUUGUGGGCAUCAAAGGCAUACUCCUCCUGAAGAUCAGUAAGGUCUUCCGUCCAAAUCAAGCAUUUUAGGGCAUCAGUAUCACCUCUUUCUUGUUUGAUAUAAGUUUCAGCAUAAGCUUGACAUUGGCAUUUUUCAAGGCAAGCCUUUCUGCAAGGAUCACUAUCAUUUGGAUCUGCGUCAAUCUGAGAGUCUGGCUUUCUCACUUUCAUCAUCUUUAAGCUCAGGAACAUGUCUUUACUAGAAUUCUCCUCGCAUAUGGGAGACUUUCUGGUACACCCACUUGAAAAGUCUUCAGUUUUCCACUUAUCCGGCGAGGCGGGUUUGAACCCAGGUAAACAUUUGCACAUCAAAGGAUUUUUAGUGUUACAACUACCGAAUUUCCCACAAGCUUUUGACACACUGCAUCGAUCUCGAGGUGCCCACCAGUCUGGAGAUGAUGUAUUCGGAUUCAGAUAGUACUGGAUUUCCCCUGAAGAAUUCAUCACCAACCGCGUGGUAUUCUUAUACCUGCGGGACAGUAUUUCAAGGGUUCCAUUGAAGAAUUUUAUAUAGCUGGUUGGCUUACCAUUCUUGCUGAGGUUGGAUAACAAGCUGAGUAUUGCAUCUGGAAUUUCAUCAGGCGUUCCUUUCGAGUCCUCACUGCUCCAAUAUGGGACAAUUGAACUUUCCCAUAUGUUAUAAUGAUCCUUAUUGUCUUGAUCUAUCUUGAAAGUAUAGUUUCCAGGUGCCGGGUCAACAGAACUCAGCCAUGAAGUCAAUGUUAAGGUUUCAUCCAUCUUCAUCCCCGGAAGAAAAGUAUCUGUAGGAUUAUGGAAGCUCUCCCAAAGAAUCUUCCCCGAUCUGUUGUAGCUCAAAACAAGGUUCCCAGAGUCCAUGAGCUUCACCACCCUCCCUGUAGAUAAAGAUGUUUCAAUAUCAGAAUGCCAGUGAACUGUCCCAUUUGCAUCCAAUACCUUGAGCUGACCAUCUUCUUUAAUGGCAAAAACUCCAGAGGGGGUGUCAGAAAGGGGAAGGGGGUUCUUUCGGUUGGCCACCCAUACAACUCUUUGUGGUUUCGACCUGUAAUACCAUAUGCCCACGAAUCUUCCAAUCUUGGAGCUUCCACCUGGAUUAAAGAAGCCAAGUUCAAAAGUUUUGCCUGCAGAAACAACAGUUUCUCCAUCAUUACUAAGCCAGUCCUCCGGUGUGAUGGUAUCUCUAGCAGAGCAAUACAGGACAGAACACAAGACGAAAAAGAUGGUAGAUAGCAUGUGAGUUGCAGAGACAGGAACCAUGAAUUUUCUUCCUUAUCAUUUUGCCUCUUUUUAGAGCUGUGUCCUCAAAUCUAUAGUUUUUAGUGGAGACUUUUCCUCUUGACCCUGAGUGGAGUAAAGUCACAUCAAUACUGUCUGUCAUCUUUGUCUUCCUCCCGCAAACUAAAUAACGGUUGUCCUUUUGUACCCACUAUUUAUUUUGGACCUACCUACCCUCAUUUCACUCCAGUAAUAAAAUGAAAUGUGUGAAUUGCAUGUCAUUAAAUAAAAACAAAAACACGUAUCUAAUCGGUAUUAUACUGAUUCAGUACUGUAGAAUUUUCUCAAAAACAAAAACAAAAACAUAUACCUAAUCGAAUGAUUAAUCAUUGGAGUGUAGAAUGCAAAGCUUUUUCUUUCUUCAUUUUAAUGAGACAAUGAAUAAAAAUAAGGUGGACCAUGUCUCCUUUCCAACGCACACCUUUCAUCUUUUCUCUUUAUCCCAACAUGUUUCUCAUUCCACUCCACUUUUUUCUUUGUAUGUAUAGUUUAUCUCUUUUAAGAAAUCAAGUAUGAGCAUCAACUGAUAAAUUUUUCUAUACUUUCUUCGACUUGGAGGAGCUUCAUAAUGGGAUAAACAAUCAAGAGUCUGUUUUCACAAUGUUUUUAAAAAGGGUAUUUGAGAUAACUUAAAUGUUUUUGAGGCAAAAUUUUAUUAAGAAUUCAAAUAUAAAAACUAAUUUUCUUUGUUUAUGCAUGUACGAUAUAAAAGUUUUUAAAGUGCUAUUCUCUAUUUUUUCAAUUGUCACUCAAUGAAUUCUAAAAAAAAAAAACAAAACUAAAAUACCUUAAAAUAUUUCUAAAAAAUAAUUCAUUUUCAAAACAAAUUCCCAAUAAAAAAAAAAUUGUGUUUUCUAUCAUAAUUUUUUGAAACAUAUUUUCUAAGUUAGAAAAUAAUUUUUUAUUCUAAAAGAUUAAUAUAUAUAUUUUCAAGAACAGAUACCAAAUAUAACCUAAUUUUUCUUCUAAGGUUUUUUUCCUUAUGUCUCCGUCUAGUUGUCAUCCAAUGAACAAUCCACUUCAAAUAUUUUUGUGCCAAAGGGUAAAACCGAAGGAGAGAAUUACUCAAACACAGGAGAAUUAAGAAUCAAAGGACAAAAGGGAUUGGAGCAAGGUGAUAACUUUUCUCAGUGAACUUCACUGAUUUGCUCAAAGGCAAGUUGCCAGCAAAAUCAAGGAUAUAAAAUGUGUAUUUCAUCUUUUUUUGUUGGACCCAUUGGGUUUGCUUUUUUUCCCUCUCAAUUUGGGAUUUAAUAUAAUAUAGAUCAGGAUUGAGCAGGUUUCUGUAAAUAAAUCAAAAUGGGCGGCCUUUUUUUAACUUGAUUCCCUCUUUGCUUUCUAGCACAUGAGAAAAAGUAGAGCUAGCCUCACAUGUGCACACACUGCACAUGGCAUAGCAUUGGGUACCUAUUGAGUCAUCUCCACCAUAUGAUUAAGCACAGUGGCCCAAAUACUAGCAAUGAAGUUAGAAAAUGCAUUCUUCAUUUUCGUCUCCGAGAGAGUAGGAAAACCAUAUUCUUUCUCUGAUUUUUCAGGAAGAGAGAAGAGACUUCUCACAUAGAGAAUAAAAAAUAAAAAAAUUAUUUAUUUUUAAUAGUGAUAGUUUCUAUGUAGUUUUAAAACUCCCUAAAACUAUUUCCCCAUUUUCUCAUUUAUUUGAGUCAGGUCGGGUCAGUCCACUUGGACACCCAAACCCAACUCCAACAUUGUGGAACUUGGAAGUGUAGUUUAUCUCACUGCUGAACAUGAGAACUUUGUUGGACAUGGUGGGACAUCACUUGGGUCUCUUGAACACUGAAGAGCCCAACAUUUAUAUUGUCAUUUAGUUUGCACCAUAUGCAGAGCCCAGUUCAAACAUGAUAUUGAAAAAAGUUCUAUACACAAAUACAGCUGAUGGAUAGGAGAAACAAAACAGAACAUCAGAUGGAUAAAACUUAGUAAACUAAAUAAACGGUAAAGGAUUCAUUGGAUCUCCUCUUAGCUAUCGCCCUUCUCCUAUGGAGGCUACAAGCUCAUUCUUCCAGGAGGCUUCAGCCUUGCUAGAAGAAGAAGCUGUACUAGAAAGGUUCCUCUUUACAACAAAAGCUGGUUCUUUAGGAACGGGCACUGUUGCAGCAUCACUGCUGAGCAGAAGAACUGCAAUGGCCAUGGUGGGACGGUCACUUGGGUCUUCUUGCACACACAACAGCCCAACAUUUACACACCUCGAAAAUUCGUUUGUGUUGCAUGUUUCACUUAGUGUCUGGUCCAUCAACUCCAAAACCUUGUCUUCUUUCCAUAGCUUCCAUGCCUAGAACAGUUCAAAAAGUUGUAGGUCAGAUGAACAGAGAAUGACUAAAAGAUCAGUACAAAUGAAAGAUUCAAAGCUCUUACAUGACCUAGAAGACUCAGAGUUCGGUCAGACUGAUAAAAUCCAGUGUUCCUCUUCCCACUGAUGAUCUCAAGUACCAUAACACCAAAGCAAAAGACAUCAGACUUCUCUGAGAAAUAUCCAUCCAAUGCAUACUCCGGAGACAUAGCCACUGCAUUGAACCAGUUAAAAGCAGCACUCAGCUAAUUGGGAAACGCAAUCAUACAACCGCUUGCCUUUUUCGAUACAAAAUAUACAAUACUUACUAAGUUCCAACUACUCUGUUCGUGUUUGCCUCUACUUGCUUACUGUCAAAAAUCUUUGCCAAGCCAAAGUCUGAAAUUUUGGGAUUCAUCUCAUCAUCAAGUAGAAUGUUGCUUGUUUUUAAGUCCCUAUGAAUAAUCUUCAAUCUUGAAUCUUGGUGAAGAUACAGCAGCCCUCGAGCAAUUCCCAUAAUGAUGUCAAACCGCUUCUCCCAGUUCAGUAACAUGCAUAGGGUUCAAUCUUGCAAGGUUCCCAUUGGAAAGCAUUACUUCAGAUAUGUAUACAAGAAUGUAUAUGUUACAUGAAAAAGAAAAGGGCUUUAAGGCAGGUUUAGAGACAAACCAAAUAUGAAGGAAUCUAAGCUUUUGUUGGCCAUAUAUUCAUAGAGUAAAAUCUUCUCAUCACCUUCAACACAAUAGCCCAAAAGUCUAACCAGAUUCCGAUGCUGAAGUUUGGCAAUUAACACAACCUCAUUCUUAAAUUCCUGUAAGCCUUGUCCUGAAGCUCUAGAGAGUCUCUUAACCGCAAUUUCUCGCCCCUCUAGAA